AGAGAUUAAGAAAAUCCCUUUAACAAACCUUUAAUUAGGGGCCAUGGAUGCUCUGAGAGGAUACCAGAGGCCUCAUGGCUUGCCAUUUUUUCCUCCUCUCUCUUUCUCUGUCUAGAGAGUUUUCCUGGCUCAGAAGUUUUGACUAGUGAACAAAGACAAGUCCAGCAAACUCAGAUUAGUUAAGUGCAGCCUGGUGAUUAUGGGACUGUCUCUUUCUUACUCCAAUCUUUACUAUCUAAUAAUCAUAAAUUCUUCUAUUCUUCAAAGAUCUUCCAGGUAUACAUACAUGGAGAAUUUAUUAAAUUGGCAGACGACAAGUAGCUGAAAAGGACAAUAAUAUCUACCUACAGAAUCAGAAUUCAUGUAUUCUCAACAGGCAAGUAAAAAGCAGGGAGGGGUUGCUAGCUAAGAUCCUGGUA
rnacentral:lncRNA from 1 species